UCCUACCUGGCAUUUUGACUCUAUUUACAGAGGAACAAAACCAAGGAAAUUUGAGUAAAAUCUUCUGAUCCACAGGAUGACAUGAACACUAUGUGAUGCAACUAAAAUUUUACUAGAGGAGCCUUCACCUAUGAAUCAAAGGGAAAAAAGAUCACUGGCUCUUCUGUAUUUCAAGGCAACGAAGUGAUCAAGAUGGAGGAGAAGCUCUAGUGAUUUAAAAAACUCCAGUCAGUAACACAGAAACAGAGAAAGGGAAUUUAAGACUUACAAGUGUUUCAGAAAUAGAUUACAAGAAAGGCAGAACCGAAAUAUUUUGCCCAUGAGAAGAAUUCGAGUAUGUUAAAUCUUUUCCUGGAUACUACAUCUAUGACAUCAGAAGAAUUUUUGCAUCGCAAGGGAAGCAAACACUCACAUGGAAGUCAAAAGGGAUAAAGCAGCAUGUCAGGGAAGCAGAUCCAGAAGAAGCAUAAGACAAGAUCCAAGGAUUUUAUAACGUGUAUUUUGUAGUUUUAGGGAAGUAAAGGAAGCACCAAUGGGUUACAUCAUGUGUCAACACAACAACAGGAAAAAAAAGUUUAAAAAGAGCAAGAAGUGACUCAUGCCUUCAGCCUCAUUCUCUCUCUCUGAAGACAUCUCAGAUUGUCCAUAAUGUCUGCUCUCACAGGGAGAAAUUAUGAAAAAGGAGCUGAACCUAUCACUUCCAACAGGCUUAAGCACUAAGCCAAAUUAAAUUUAUAUUCAUAUGUUCUAAAACUGUUUGGAUCUCUGCCCUUCAUUGCCAGAAAGGUUAAGGGCUUCCCUCUCUUUUAGCACCUUUCUCAGAAAAGGGUGCACUGGAAAAGAGCCAGUAUAAUCCUCCCUCUCUCCCAGGGUUAGGUCAGAAUUUUCCCUCUUCCCCAACCGUGAGGCAGAGGGAAUAGAUUCUAAGGACCCUAUGGAUGGUACCUUCCUUUUUACCAUGCCCUUCUGAGCAACAGAUGGGCUGCUCAGCUGGUUUACUGCCCUUUGUCUCUCAGCUAUUUUCCUUUCUUACCCCUGAAAAGCAGCUGAAAAUUAAGUAUAGGGAAGAAGAAAUGCAGUGUUGGUAAAUUUGAAAGGAAAU